rnacentral:tRNA from 1 species
GAGGUGGGGAAACCGAGGUUAGGCUUCUAACUUAAAUCUCAAGCAAUGGAAUUUGUUUCUACCUCU